UACGUAGGGGGCAAGCGUUGUCCGGAUUUAUUGGGCGUAAAGAGCGUGUAGGCGGUCUGGUAGGUCCGUUGUGAAAACUCGAGGCUCAACCUCGAGACGCCGAUGGAAACCAUCAGACUAGAGUCCGGAAGAGGAGAGUGGAAUUCCUGGUGUAGCGGUGAAAUGCGCAGAUAUCAGGGAGAACACCCGUGGCUAAGGCGGCUCUCUAGUACGGUACUGACGCUGAGACGCGAAAGCGUGGGGAGCGAACAGG
rnacentral:rRNA from 1 species